UUUUGUUCCUUUACACGUGUUCCUCAUGUGUGCUAAACGGAGGUCGAAAAAAAAAGGUGCAGUUGGUCUCUCUCUCAAAUCGCCCCCGAUCGACACGAUCCUCCUCUUUUUCCAUUUCGACGUCUCCAUUCUCUGCUAUGCAACAGGAGGUCGGUGUUCCGCUCUAACCCGCUCCCCCCUUCCUCCUCCCCGGCGUGCUACACAGACCCCCCAUCGCGUGAUGCGAAGCAGCCGUAGACGCACCCGCGUUACAGCAAUGCGCCGACCCAGCCGUCUGAGAGCACGGCCGACUGCCUCAAACUCCACCCACCCCGCGCUCUACAGGUCGCCUCGCAGCCGCUUCCAUCAUACUGCUCGCCACCUGGUGCGUCGUCCUCGGGGUGGCCUCAGGCUCCCCGCACCGGUGGGCCGUUGAGGGCCGGGAUGGGGGUGGGGUGCGUUCGAGUCACGCGGGCACUCGUGCCUAAUCAUAUGGAUGGGCCGGGUAUGCUCACGCUGUCGCAGGCCGCUCCGACGCCAGGCCGUCCUGGAGCUGACCGCAGACGUCAGCAGCGAUCCAUCGCGCUCACUGCGCUACGCCCUAGGCAUCUGUCCUUCUGACGGCGAGACGUGGGUUUGGCAUCGGCAGGGAUAGCGGGGCUGCUCGGCUUCCUCGCACAGAGAGCGGGGAUGUGGACUGGGCACUGAUGCCACAGUGACGUGUGGUCCCCGUUGUCAGGAAGAGAGGCACGGCGCGGCGGAAACAAAAAGUACAAGUUGGUGACAAGACAGCGGGAGCUCAGGCAGCCUGAGCUGUGCUGGGUAAAGCCAGACGAAGCGCUUGAUGGGCGCCGAGCCCCGAAGCGAUCGAAGAGUGACGAGUCGUGCACACAGCAAGUCGCAUGGUUCGCCGUGGCGACACGUGCACUGGGCCUCCGUCGAGUGUGCAGUUCCCGCUCCCCUCGGUCUCCUUUUGGAAAAGUACGUUGAUGGGUAUCUCAUUUUGGGGUUCCACUUGAUGCCCCACUGCUCACGUCGUCGCUCUCCAUGCUUCUAUUCACUUCCACCUCUCCGCUUUCGUGUUUCGUUGUUGUUGUGGUUUCCCUUCACCGCGCAAACAUCGCGUCACGAUCGCCCGCUUUCAUGGUGCAUGCUCGAUGGGGGGACACAUGACGGACGCCCUUCAG
rnacentral:misc_RNA from 1 species